rnacentral:rRNA from 1 species
GACGAACCGUGCGAACGUUAUUCGGAAUCACUGGGCUUAAAGCGCGUGUAGGCGGCCCGGCACGUCAUCGGCUGAAAUCCCCCGGCUCAACCGGGGAAGGGGCCGUGAUACGACCGGGCUGGAGGGGGGUAGGGGGGACGGGAACUCACGGUGGAGCGGUGAAAUGCGUUGAGAUCGUGAGGAACGCCCGUGGCGAAAGCGCGUCCCUGGACCCCACCUGACGCUGAGACGCGAAAGCCAGGGGAGCAAACAGG